AAAUAAGAAGCAAAAUUUGCAUUUAAUUUCGACUUAAAAGACAGAGUAAUUACUCCUUAUUUA
rnacentral:tRNA from 1 species